rnacentral:lncRNA from 1 species
ACAUCAAUAAAUCUUGUGUUUACACAUGAGUGUCACUUUAAAGAUUUAUCACCUAUAUGAAAAGAAUUCUGAAAUCCAAAACAUGUCUGGUUUCACUCUGCUAGGUUGAGGGAUGCUCAACCUGUAUUAUGCUGUUGAUGAGCAAUGAGUUUAUGGUGCGUUCCUUUAGUGUGGUUAUCUGUGCUGUGAAUGGUCUUCUUGGCAUAGAUUUAUAUUCGUAUAAAACUUGUUCAAAGUGUUGGUUUUUAUAUUAGCUUUGGAAAGUAAGUCAGAACACCUGUGAAUGUUCUUUUUUGGAAUUCUUUAGAAAGUGUUGGAUCUUUUUACUUUUGAAAGAAUGUGACAAACCUCUAGGCCUGGAGCUUUACUGAAAGCCAGGUAGUUUUUUUCUCCCUCCAUUGCUCCAAUUGUCUUCGUGUGGUCUGCAAAGUCAUUCUGGUCAGGCUUUGUUCUUCCUGUGUCGAUUUGAUAACUGGAUCAUAGUCUAUCUUUCUUUUUCAGUUUGUCAUAUUAGUUAGGUUCAUUAAUUCAGAGUUGGACUUGCGGGUUUUUUUUUUUUUCCUCAUUUAUUUCUCUGUUCUGUGAUUUGAAAUAUCAGUAGUCUAGAAUUCCAUUUUUAGGUUUGCCAGAGUGGGCUGGAGAUACAGAGCUUGUAAGUUAAGAGAAGUUGCUGGUAAUGGCAGAUGCACUAGGUCAGGGGUCAGCAAAGGCUAGGAAUGUUCCUUAUGUUGAAGAGUAUGUGCACAUGUGGCUGGAUGUGGCAGAAUGUUAGUGACACUGUGUCUGUGGUCAGAAAGCUGAGAGAGGGGACUCUUUCUCCUUUUAUUUAGUCCAUGGCUCCACCUCAUGGGGUGAUAACUACCUACAUUCACAGUGAUCCUUCCACUGCAGAAAGUCUUUUUGGAAAGGCUAUCCAGACAUGCACAGAGGUUUGUCUCCUUCACUGUUCUAAAUGCCAUGAAGCUGACUAUAAAGAGGAUGUUGCCAUUACUAAAGAUGCUUGCUCCAUUUCAUCAUGAUGUCAGGCUGCAGCUGGCAGCCACCACUGAGUCCUGAAGGAAGUGUUCUGAGGACAGGGCUUUGCAUACUUAAUAGUAAAGGACGCGAAGGACAGUGUAUGGACACCUUUGUUGCUGAGUUAGUAUUGUUUUCUCCCCCCACCCCCCAAAGAUAGAAACUGUGUUUCUUGUUCUGGGUCACACUGAAAAGUAUAUAUUCCAUUAAAUAUUGGCAAAUUAUCUUAUAUGAACUACAAACACAGAAUACAUGGCCACGAUCUGAAAUUUCAGAGCUAGUGUUAAAAGUAUAUCCUGCUUGUUAGGAUUGUAAAGCGCAGGUUAGGUGUGAAGAGGACACUCUGUGAAAACUGACAGAAGCAAAGCUCUCCCAGUUCCCUAAUUGAAGAUGUUCUUUGCCUAUUGAACUGGGGCUGCAGGUGAACGUGUCCUGUGCUGAAUACAGUUAUUCUAAGUCAGGGCCUAAGUCUCUGUAGCAUUAUUGUUGAGACAAAAGGCAACUGAAUUGAAAAUUGAAAAAUGAAGACCAGUAUUUUGUGAUCAGGGUCAUUUUUGUAAGGAAUUGUAUGAAGUGCACACAGAGGUGGCCAGCAUCAGUAUGCUAAAUAUCCACACAGAUGUGGCCAACCUCAGCAUCCUAAAUAACCAUAUAGAGAUGACUAGCCUUGGUAUUUUAAAUAAGCAUUUUAAAAGUCUUUGUUAAAUCUUAAGUUUUUGUUGCUUAGAGCGACAGUAGAAUCCACUAAUAAAAAGCCGCUUUUCUUAAAUGUCAAAUUACAUGUGCAUAAACUCUAGAAACCACAGCUAUUACAACUGUGAAUACAUAUAAUAUAUACAUCAUUAUUUAUUACUAAGGUUUAGAUGAACUGCUGGCAUAGUAAUAAUAGUUCUUUGGUAAUAAACCCUUGUUUCUCAAGGGCUAUGUUUUUAAGUCACAUGAUUUGUUUAUUUAUAGUUUAAAUAUCAACAGUGUACUUAAUGCUUUGUUUAAAAAAUAGCCUUUCUGCUUUGGUCACUUGUGCUGAUCCUGAUUCGCCCUCGCCUUCGGGUUUGUUUGUU